GAUGAACGCUAGCGGCGUGCCUAACGCAUGCAAGUCGAACGGUUAAAGCUCUCUUCGGAGAGUGUAUAAAGUGGCGAACGGGUGAGUAACACGUAGAUACGUGCCCUGAAGAGGGGGACAACCAUUGGAAACGAUGGCUAAUACCCCAUACGUUGUGUCUUACGACAUUAACAAAAGCUCCGGCGCUUCAGGAGUGGUCUGCGGUCCAUCAGCUAGUUGGUAAGGUAAUGGCUUACCAAGGCUAAGACGGAUAGGGGGCGUGAGAGCGCGAACCCCCACACUGGUACUGAUACACGGACCAGAUACCUACGGGUAGCAGCAGCGAGGAAUAUUGCGCAAUGGGGGAAACCCUGACGCAGCAACGCCGCGUGGAGGAAGAAGGCCUUCGGGUCGUAAACUUCUUUUCUGACAGAAGAGAAAGGACGGUAUGUCAGGAAUAAGGCCCGGCUAACUACG
rnacentral:rRNA from 1 species